rnacentral:rRNA from 1 species
CCUACGGGAGGCAGCAGUGAGGAAUAUUGGUCAAUGGCCGGAAGGCUGAACCAGCCAUGCCGCGUGAAGGUCAGUGCCCUAUGGGCGUUAAACUUCUUUUGUGCGGGAGCAAUAAUGGUCACGUGUGGCCAGACGAGAGUACCGUACGAAUAAGCAUCGGCUAACUUCGUGCCAGCAGCCGCGGUAAUACGGGGGAUGCAAGCGUUAUCCGGAUUUAUUGGGUUUAAAGGGUGCGUAGGCUGUGGGGUAAGUCAGCGGUGAAAUGCCCCCGCUCAACGGGGUGAAGUGCCAUUGAUACUGGCUGGCUGGAAUGCGGAUGCGGUGGGAGGAAUGUGUGGUGUAGCGGUGAAAUGCAUAGAUAUCACACAGAACACCGAUUGCGAAGGCAUCUCACGAAUCCGCGAUUGACGCUGAUGCACGAAAGCGUGGGUAUCAAACAGGAUUAGAUACCCGAGUAGUC